ACUCAAGCGGACAUAGAGAAGCGUUAACGAGAUUGAAGGGAGCAGUGGCCAUGUUGUCGACGGUGAUCAGCAUGUCAAUACUACGUAGAUGGUGAUUCAGGCGGCGGCUACGGCGGCUUUGGGAGUCGGAAACCGCUUGAAGUACAGGCUCGCACUGGUUCCACUCAAUCAGUCUCCACUUCCGGUAAAAUCAACAACCUGAUAUCUGUUUUGAUUAUAGUUCAAAACUUUUUAUAUUUGUUGUGAUUAUUUUCCUUUCAAUUUGGUUGUUCUGUUUUUUUGUUUUGUUUUUUCCCUUAUUGUUUCUACCUAAGCUUUAUGUUUUAGUACUGGAGAAAGAGCAUCCCAAUAACAAAUUUGUUGCUGUUCUGAAUAAUCAGGUUGGAGAUGUAGCUGGCUGGCGGCUGCUGGGGACAAGUGGAUUUCAUAUGUUGUGUGUCUAAUACGUGUGUUUGACAAUAAUGAAAGGAUGUAAAUCAAAGACUGAAACUAUGAGCUCCAAAAGUUUAGACACGUGAUCGAAAAAAGAACGCAAGAUGUUGCAGUGAAACUGCAGAAGAAGAUGGAACGGAGUGUUGAAAUUCUCUAAUUGAAGAUCUCACCGGCAGUCACGGCGGAGAAGAAGGGCACUACCAUGAACUACCGUAUGAACAGCAUAAUGAAUAUCCCCUACAACCUGAUCACAUGACCACGCCACUGUUGUGUUAGUUAUCUUUCGUUCAUUUGCUCUUUUAUCCACUAAACUGUACAAACAACAGAAGAAACAAGUUUGUAUAUACAUAAAUUCACAAUCCAUGACA